CUUUGUGCCACUUUCUUGCCCCUCAGCUGGGACUUUGUGUGCAGCACAGAGCGGAGGGACACCGCGCCGCCCGGCCGGCGCUACUACUUACAGAGCUGCAUGACAUCAUCCCGCCGGCUCCACAUGCGCUGCCUGUGCUCAUUGUGUGCAGGGCCGCUGCUAGGCUAGGGCAGAGAGGGCAUUUGCUGGGGGCCCCUAACAUCAUAGGGGCCCUAUGUGGGCGAAGGUAGACACCUUAUAAUGCCGAACGAUCGUUUGAUAUCAUCGACAUAUUCAUCAGGGAUGUAAUGCAACCGGCAGCCCUCCAGCUGAUACUGUACUGCAAAGCCCUAGCAUCCUACCGGCAGCAGUAUGGGGCCACAGUCUUGCUGCACUGACAGCCCCCCCACCUCUGCCAGUGGACCUGAGUGAUUAGAUGCCACUUUCAGCCAGCAGAUGGCGUGCUAGCAGUCUAAUUGCUGCACUUUAUAGGUCAGUUUUUUUGUUGGCUGCUGCCUGCUGGUAAGUAUACAUGUUUCUAUUUGGAGAGAAAUCCUACCUGCAGCUCCCAGAAUAUUUUAUUACAGUUCCUGGGAAGCCACAGUGUUGGGAGUUGUAGCCGGGCAACAGCUGAUGGGCAACAGAUGGCACCGGCUCUUUAUUACAAGCAGAUUGUUCUCCUUGUGCAAAUGACCAAAAUGCAGUCCCAAGGCUGCCUGGAGAUGGCUAACUGGCCAUGUCCUACAAGCAGCAGCACUUGGGACCCACUUGGAGCCAUACUGACAGAUUGGAGGUACCCGAAGGGAGCCCUUCAACUGUCUAUCAAGGUCAUCCGCAAGGAGAACAGUGAGGCCAAUGCAUUCCUGACUCCGGAAAAUGGAUGCGGACGUCAUGUCACUUAAAUUACCUCUUGCUUUUUUUUUUCCUUUCUUUUUUUGUUUUUUUUAAAUCAUACUUCUUCCAUGUGUAGUGCAUUUGGUUUAUGGUUGUUGAUAAGGUCAUAAUGUCAUAUAUUGGGGAUUGUUCUUGUGUAUAUCAUAAAGUGUAAGAAUCUACGGGACUCUGAGCCUUGCUUAAGAGAAAUACAAACGGUCAAAUUGUACCAUAAAUCAUUUUUUACAGCCUAGGUAUAGACAAUAUCCUCACUGUGAAUCCAUGUUUACACACAGUACAGGUGGGCCUCGCGGCCUGUUUCUACCACAGCAAUGUCUUCCUCUACUCAAACAACUCCAAAAUAUCUCUUCAUUAGUACAGCCACAAUUUCUUCUUCAAAACGACAGUAACCUUGCAGAGGCUGAGAGUCCCCUCUUAUUAUGUAUUUUGUUCAUUUAGAUGUAGCAUACCUGUUAGAUUCUUUUCAUCCAUUGUCGUUAUAUCUCUAUAUUUUAAUUCAUGUACACUUUUGAUGUAUAGAAAUAGUUGUUUGAAACACAUUGUUUCCUUGUGGUAAGUGACAGAGAAGCUGCCACAGGAUAUGAGACACUGAUGAAUGGUGCUAUUUUGGACUUUUAAACAUGCUCCUUGGCAAGGUAGCUCUGAUGGGAGUUAUUUUUAUUUUAUUUUAUUUUUUUUUCUUGUUCUAAGAAGGUGUUGGUAUUUUUUCCUGAUUGUUGUUCUUUAGGCGGGACUGACUUUGGUUUCAGUGUGGCUUUUUAAAUUCAGUCUUUUCUAGGGUAAAUAACUGCUAACCGAGCAAGUGAGAAAAGUUCUCUUUUCAUUUCUCUCUCUCUUUCUCUCUCUCUCUCUCUCUCUCUCUCUCUCUCUCUCUCUCUCUUUUUUGUUUCUGUACUGGGUAGAUUCACCAACAAGCAACUGUUGUAGCGGGAGCAAUCACAAAACUGUAAUUUACGUAAAAGUUAAUCUACUUCCCAUUCCUUUAUUAGAGAGAAAUAGCAAUAACUCGUAGAAAUUUCUAUCCUGUUUUGUGUUUUUUAAUAGAAAGUACAUUUAAAGCAAAGGGGCAGGUUUCUGAAUGUCCUGUGGCCCAUGUCAGGAUUUAGUUUUGUUUGUUUUAUGGAGCGAGGCAGCUAAUAAUUUUGCAAAUUUGUUUUUUUAGUCCUGAAAAUAUGAAAAUUCAUUUAGGUCAUUUUACACUUUUGUUCUUGCUCUCAGUGAAAAAACUAUUAAGUAAACUACUCAUAGAAUGCUGUUGUGUUAGACACAAUCUGGAAGCCCACCUUAUUUUUUAUGGUUGAUUUUUUUAAUAGAAUCUCGUCUUUAGAUCUUCCUUUGCAGUGCAGACAGCGCUGUGGGCUGUUGUAGCUUUGACUGUUAAAUGCGACUGCAUGCUUUGCCUAUGUUAGCUUUUAUUUUUCCUUUCCAAGUGUUAUACUGUAUGAUUAGAGCCUAUGAGCUGUGCUGUAUAUAAUAGAGCAGUUAAUCAGUAUUAAGCAGUUGUGGCAUUUAUGUAUGGUUGCAUUUGUGUAUUGAUAAAAGAGCAAGCUUUUGUAACAAUGUGAUCUUUAAUGAAGCACUAUAAGUACCCAUUGUAUUUUAACUAUUUUAGAAUCUGUUCAAUAAAUAUGCAAGCGUUAUUCAUUUUA